ACUCCUGUUAACCCUGUCAGUUCUAGAACAUUCUUGUUGACCCUGUCAGUUCUAGAACAUUCCUGUUGACCCUGUCAGUUCUAGAACAUGAACACUACUACAGUCAGAUAAAUACACUGACAGGAUCCCAGUCUGGUCCGGCCACACUACACUACCCAGAGUUCCACAGCAGGUUUAGUCACACGGUAGUCAGGUUAUUGCCUUGCUAAUGGCUGGUGUUAUACACUGUUACUAUGGUUACUGUGAGAGAGACAGAGCUAGUGACGUUAACAGAACUACAGUAGGCCGGUGAAAUGGUUGGUGAAAUGGUCGGUGAAAUGGUCGGUGAAAUGGUCGGUGAAAUGGUUGGUGUCUGUGUCCGGGGGGACUGAGGUGACCAUUGUGACACUGAGUUCAAACACAGAGGCCACACAACAUACAUUGUUCUGUUCUGACGAGAGAGCGAGAGAGAGAGAGAGAGAGAGAGUUUGGCUUCUCUCCUCUCUUUGUGUUGUAGUGUCUCUGUAGUGUCUCUGUCUCUCUAGACCUGGUUGUAGUGUCUCUCUAGACCAGGUUGUAGUGUCUCUCUAGACCAGGUUGUAGUGUCUCUGUAGUGUCUCUCUAGACCAGGUUGUAGUAUCUCUCUAGACCAGGUUGUAGUGUCUCUGUAGUAUCUCUCUAGACCAGGUUGUAGUGUCUCUGUAGUGUCUAUCUAGACCAGGUUGUAGUGUCUCUCUAGACCAGGUUGUAGUGUCUCUCUAGACCAGGUUGUAGUGUCUCUCUAGACCAGGUUGUAGUGUCUAUCUAGACCAGGUUGUAGUGUCUCUGUAGUAUCUCUCUAGACCAGAUUGUAGUGUCUCUGUCUCUCUAGACCAGGUUGUAGUGUCUCUCUAGACCAGGUUGUAGUGUCUCUCUAGACCAGGUUGUAGUGUCUCUCUAGACCAGGUUGUAAUGUCUCUCUAGACCAGGUUGUAGUGUCUCUCUAGACCAGGUUGUAGUGUCUCUGUAGUGUCUAUCUAGACCAGGUUGUAGUGUCUCUCUAGACCAGGUUGUAGUGUCUCUCUAGACCAGGUUGUAGUGUCUAUCUAGACCAGGUUGUAGUGUCUCUGUAGUAUCUCUCUAGACCAGGUUGUAGUGUCUCUGUAGUAUCUCUCUAGACCAGGUUGUAGUGUCUCUCUAGACCAGGUUGUAGUGUCUCUGUAGUGUCUAUCUAGACCAGGUUGUAGUAUCUCUCUAGACCAGGUUGUAGUGUCUCUGUAGUAUCUCUCUAGACCAGGUUGUAGUGUCUCUCUAGACCAGGUUGUAAAGUAACAGGUCUUUAUCUCCAGGAUAACUGAAACAUGAACAACACUACAACCAUGUUAGAUUAACAAAGCUACGACCAGGUGAUAUUAACAACACUACGACCAGGUUAGAUUAACGACCAGGUUAGAUUAACGACCAGGUUAGAUUAACAACACUACGACCAGGUUAGAUUAACAACACUACGACCAGGUUAGAUUAACAACACUACGGCCAGGUUAGAUUAACAACCCUACAACCAGGUUAGAUUAACAACACUACGACCAGGUUAUCUGAACAACACUACGACAAGGUUAGAUUAACAACACAACGACCAGGUUAGAUUAACGACCAGGUUAUAUUAUCAACACUAUGAUCAUGUUAGAUUAACAACACUACGACCAGGUUAGAUUAACAACACUACGGCCAGGUUAGAUUAACAACACUACGACCAGGUUAGAUUAACAACACUACGACCAGGUUAGAUUAACAACACUACGACCAGGUUAGAUUAAUAACACUACGACCAGGUUAGAUUAACAACACUACAAUCAGGUUAUCGGAACAACAGUAAGACCAUGUCAGAUUAAUGACCAGGUUAGAUUAACGACCAGGUUAGAUUAACAACACUACAACCAGGUUAGAUUAACGACCAGGUUAGAAUAACAACACUACGACCAGGUUAGAAUAACAACCAGGUUAGUUUAACAACACUACGACCAGGUUAGAUUAACAACAGUACGACCAGGUUACAUUAACAACACUACAACCAGGUUAGAUUAACGACCAGGUUAGAAUAACGACCAGGUUAUAUUAACAACACUACGACCAGGCACACACAGUCUCAAAUGGAACCCUUUUCCACAGCUCCCUAUGUGGCCCCUGGUCAAAAGUAGUGCACUAUGUAGGGGAUAGAGUACCAUUUGGGUCAACCCCAAACUAAUCUUCCUCUGUGCUGAACCCCUCCACAGAACCAGUGAACCAUCUUGACCGGUUCUGUGGCUCAGGACCCUCCUGGGUCCCCAGUGUUGUGGAACAUUACCGAAUAAACAGGUUUACAAAGUUAUUGUUGUGUGGGUUUUUUUUCCGUUCACUUGCAUCCUCCCCUCCCCUCCCCCCGUUCAGGAUGAAAAUGGUUUAGUCCACUGACUCCGCUCAGCUGUCCAUCACACACUCUCCAUAAUGAUCACCACAGAAUCCUCCUCAGCCAAUGGGGUGUCUCCUGGGGCGGGGCUACACAGGGUUAGUCCCUCCCCUGACACCUGAUCUCUAACCGGGCAGUCCAGGCUGUCGUGGAGCUCGCUCACCCCUUCCACUUCUCCUUCAUCGCCUCCUCCUCCUCUCCUCCCUUCCCCUGCUUCCUCCACUCCCUCCUCCUCCUCCUCUUCCUCCUCCUCCUCCUCCUCCUCCUCCUCCUCGUCUUCCUCAACCUGACAGCGGCACACCUCGAUGCCCGAGUCCCCUGUUAGACGGCGGUGACGAUACUGACUCGCAUCAGCCCCAACUUCCUCCUGCUCUUCCUCUUCCUCCUCCUCCUCCUCUCCCUCGCUCCUGUAGGUGUGGGGGACAAGCUGGUACACGUCCACGCAGGGGGAGAACAGGGUCUGCUUGGGGGGAGACUGGGUGGGCCUGGGGGAGAAAGGGGGAGGAGAGGAGGGGGAGAAAGGGGGAGGAGAGGACAAGGGAGAGACAGGGGGAGGAAAGCAGGAGGGAGAGACCGAGAGGGUAGAGGCUGGGGAGAGCGUAGAGGCUGGGGAGAGCGCAGAGAGGGUAGGGGCUAGAGAGGCUAGGGUUAGGGUAGGAGAAUGGGCUGGGGAGAGCGCAGAGAGGGUAGGAGGUUGGGCUGGGGAGAGCGCAGAGAGGGUAGGGGCUGGAGAGGCUAGGGUUAGGGUAGGAGUUUGGGCUGGGGAGAGCGUAGAGAGGGUAGGGGCUAGAGAGGCUAGGGUUAGGGUAGGAGUUUGGGCUGGGGAGAGCGCAGAGAGGGUAGGGGCUGGAGAGGCUAGGGUUAGGGUAGGAGAAUGGGCUGGGG
rnacentral:lncRNA from 1 species